UACGGGGGGGGCAAGCGUUGUUCGGAAUUACUGGGCGUAAAGGGCUCGUAGGCGGCCAACUAAGUCGGACGUGAAAUCCCUCGGCUUAACCGGGGAACUGCGUCCGAUACUGGAUGGCUUGAGUUCGGGAGAGGGAUGCGGAAUUCCAGGUGUAGCGGUGAAAUGCGUAGAUAUCUGGAGGAACACCGGUGGCGAAGGCGGCAUCCUGGACCGACACUGACGCUGAGGAGCGAAAGCUAGGGGAGCGAACAGG
rnacentral:rRNA from 1 species